UACGGGGGGGAGCAAGCGUUGUUCGGAUUUAUUGGGCGUAAAGAGCUCGUAGGCGGCCCUCCACGUCGGAUGUGAAAGCUCAGGGCUCAACCCUGAGAUGCCAUUCGAUACGGGGAAGGCUAGAGGUAGGUAGGGGAAAGUGGAAUUCCUGGUGUAGCGGUGAAAUGCGCAGAUAUCAGGAGGAACACCAAUGGCGAAGGCAGCACUCUGGGACGUGACUGACGCUGAGACGCGAAAGCGUGGGGAGGCAAACAGG
rnacentral:rRNA from 1 species